rnacentral:hammerhead_ribozyme from 1 species
AUUCAACUGAUGAGUCUCAAAUAGGAUGAAACGCGUGUUCUAGAU